CAUCAAAACCAUUUAAGACGAAUAUCACCAAGUAAUAAAUAUAACAAAGUAUGCAAUUUGUUAACCCAUGACUACAUUUUAGUUUAUAAACAAGCACUAAUAUAUCCAUCAUGGUAACAAACAUCAUGGCAAAUAGUAGGUAAGAUCUUUCACUACCAAAGCAAGUUCAUUAUGGCGUAACAAAGAGUCAUCUGUAAGCAAGAGAAUCAAAUUGAAAAAAAAUAUGUUUAACAAACAAUUAAAGAUCUUUACAUCAUAACUUGUUCCCUCAAACAAUGUUUGUGUUGAUUGCUGCAAUGUAAAUAGCCAAACCGCAUGAUAAACAUGAAAUGAAAAUAAGGAAGGGUCAGCCAGCAGACAGUGGAAUCAGAAUUCUGUAUU